AACAGGAUUAGAUACCCUGGUAGUCCACGCCCUAAACGAUGUCUACUAGUUGUCGGGUUUUAAUUAACUUGGUAACGCAGCUAACGCGUGAAGUAGACCGCCUGGGGAGUACGGUCGCAAGAUUAAAACUCAAAGGAAUUGACGGGGACCCGCACAAGCGGUGGAUGAUGUGGAUUAAUUCGAUGCAACGCGAAAAACCUUACCUACCCUUGACAUGUCAGGAACCCUGGAGAGAUCUAGGGGUGCUCGAAAGAGAGCCUGAACACAGGUGCUGCAUGGCUGUCGUCAGCUCGUGUCGUGAGAUGUUGGGUUAAGUCCCGCAACGAGCGCAACCCUUGUCAUUAGUUGCUACGCAAGAGCACUCUAAUGAGACUGCCGGUGACAAACCGGAGGAAGGUGGGGAUGACGUCAAGUCCUCAUGGCCCUUAUGGGUAGGGCUUCACACGUCAUACAAUGGUACAUACAGAGGGCCGCCAACCCGCGAGGGGGAGCUAAUCCCAGAAAGUGUAUCGUAGUCCGGAUUGUAGUCUGCAACUCGACUACAUGAAGUUGGAAUCGCUAGUAAUCGCGGAUCAGCAUGUCGCGGUGAAUACGUUCCCGGGUCUUGUACACACCGCCCGUCACACCAUGGGAGCGGGAUUUACCAGAAGUAGGUAGCUUAACCGCAAGGAGGGCGCUUACCACGGUAGGAUUCGUGACUGGGGUGAAGUCGUAACAAGGUAACC
rnacentral:rRNA from 1 species